CAUUAUGGUGGGGCGUGCGGGGGCGGAGAAAUCCGCGCCGGUUCCUUUUCCCGGUUACGCCAACCCUGUACGUCUCACCACCUCU
rnacentral:antisense_RNA from 1 species